rnacentral:rRNA from 1 species
AGUCAUAUGCUUGUCUCAAAGAUUAAGCCAUGCAUGUCUAAGAAUAAGCCCCAGAAUGGUGAAUCUGCGAAUGGCUCAUUAAAUCAGUUAUUGUUUAUUUGAUGGUACCUUACUACAUGGAUAUCCGUAGUAAUUCUAGAGUUAAUACAUGCGACCAUCCGCGACUUCGGAAGCGGUGCAUUUAUUAGUUUCAAACCAUCGGGUUUCGGCCCUUUGAUGGCGAGUCAUAAUAACUGAGCGAAUCGAAUGGCCUUGCGCCGUCGAUGCUUCAUUCAAAUUUCUGCCCUAUCAGCUUUCGAUGGUAGGAUCUUGGCCUACCAUGGCUAUAACGGGUAACGGGGAAUUAGGGUUCGAUUCCGGAGAGGGAGCUUGAGAAACGGCUACCACAUCCAAGGAUGGCAGCAGGCGCGCAAAUUACCCAAUCCCGACACGGGGAGGUAGUGACAAUAAAUAGCAAUGCUAGACUAAUCUUAGUCCGGCAAUUGGAAUGAGAGCAAUUUAAACCCAUCAUCGAGGAGCCAU